rnacentral:rRNA from 1 species
ACUCCUACGGGAGGCAGCAGUGGGGAAUAUUGCACAAUGGGGGAAACCCUGAUGCAGCCAUGCCGCGUGUGUGAAGAAGGCCUUCGGGUUGUAAAGCACUUUUCAGUAGGGAGGAAGGUAGUGUAGUUAAUAGCUGCAUUAGUUUGACGUUAGCGACAGAAAGAAGCACCGGCUAACUCCGUGCCAGCAGCCGCGGUAAUACGGAGGGUGCGAGCGUUAAUCGGAAUUACUGGGGCGUAAAAGCGCAUGCAGGUGGUUUGUUAAGUCAGAUGUGAAAAGCCCCGGGGCUCAACCUCGGAAUUUGGCAUUUUGAAAACUGGCAGACUAGAGUACUGUAGAGGGGGGGUAGAAUUUCAGGGUG